UGCAUAUCCCAAAAGCGGAGGAAAAGAAACCAACAGGGAUUGCCUCAGUAACGGCGAGUGAAGCGGCAAAAGCUCAAAUUUUAAAGCUGGCAUCUUCGGUGUCCGCGUUGUAAUUUUGUGAGGCAUCUCCGGGUAGGGCGCCGGCCUAAGUUCCUUGGAACAGGACGUCACAGAGGGUGAGAAUCCCGUGCUUGGCUGGCUGUCCCCGUCCAUGUGAGGUGUCUUCGACGAGUCGAGUUGUUUGGGAAUGCAGCUCAAAAUGGGUGGUAAAUUUCAUCUAAAGCUAAAUAUUGGUGGGAGACCGAUAGCGCACAAGUAGAGUGAUCGAAAGAUGAAAAGCACUUUGAAAAUAGAGUUAAAAAGUACGUGAAAUUGUUGAAAGGGAAGCGCUUGAGACCAGACUUCGGUAGGGGGUGAUCAGCCGUGCUUCGGUGCGGUGCACUUGUUCCUCUCUGGGCCAGCAUCGGUUGAGGCGGCGGGAUAAAGGUCCCGGGAAUGUGGCUCCUUCACGGGAGUGUUAUAGCCCGGGUGAAUGCCGCCAGCUUCGACCGAGGACCGCGCCCGCAAGGGUUAGGAUGCUUGGCAUAAUGGUCUUCAGCGACCCGUCUUGAACCACGG
rnacentral:rRNA from 1 species